rnacentral:rRNA from 1 species
CCUACGGGUGGCAGCAGUGAGGAAUAUUGGUCAAUGGGCGUAAGCCUGAACCAGCCAAGUCGCGUAAGGGAUGAAGGUUCUAUGGAUCGUAAACCCCUUUUAUAAGGGAAUAAAGUGUGGGACGUGUCCUAUUUUGUAUGUACCUUAUGAAUAAGGAUCGGCUAACUCCGUGCCAGCAGCCGCGGUAAUACGGAGGAUCCGAGCGUUAUCAGGAUUUAUUGGGUUUAAAGGGUGCGUAGGCGGCCUUUUAAGUCAGCGGUGAAAGUCUGUGGCUCAACCAUAGAAUUGCCGUUGAAACUGGGGGGCUAGAGUAUAUUAGAGGCAGGCGGAAUGGGAGGUGUAGCGGUGAAAUGCUUAGAUAUCACGCAGAACCCCGAUGGCGAAGGCAGCCUGCCAAGCCAUGACUGACGCUGAUGCACGAAAGCGUGGGGAUCAAACAGGAUUAGAUACCCCGGUAGUC